rnacentral:rRNA from 1 species
AGAGUUUGAUCAUGGCUCAGGAUGAACGCUGGCGGCGUGCCUAAUACAUGCAAGUCGAACGGAGAGUACAUACUUCGGUUUAUACUCUUAGUGGCGAACGGGUGAGUAACGCGUUGGUGACCUGCCCCGAAGCGGGGGACAACAGCUCGAAAGGGCUGCUAAUACCCCAUGUGGUCGUACAGGUUAGAGGCUGAACGACUAAAGGAGUAAUCCACUUCGGGAGGGGCCUGCGUCCCAUCAGCUAGUUGGUAAGGUAACGGCCUACCAAGGCGAAGACGGGUAGGGGGCCUGAGAGGGUGGCCCCCCACACUGGCACUGAAACACGGGCCAGACACCUACGGGUGGCAGCAGUAGGGAAUAUUGCACAAUGGGCGAAAGCCUGAUGCAGCAACGCCGCGUGCGCGAAGAAGGCCUUCGGGUUGUAAAGCGCUUUUCUGGAGGAAGAGAAAGGACGGUACUCCAGGAAUAAGGAUCGGCUAACUACGUGCCAGCAGCCGCGGUAACACGUAGGAUCCGAGCGUUAUCCGAAUUUACUGGGCGUAAAGCGCGUGUAGGCGGCCGGGUAAGUUGGACGUGAAAGCUCCUGGCUCAACUAGGAGAGGUCGUUCAAAACUGCCUGGCUAGAGGGCGACAGAGGGAGGUGGAAUUCCCGGUGUAGUGGUGAAAUGCGUAGAUAUCGGGAGGAACACCAGUGGCGAAGGCGGCCUCCUGGGUCGCCCCUGACGCUCAGACGCGAAAGCUAGGGGAGCAAACGGGAUUAGAUACCCCGGUAGUCCUAGCUGUAAACGAUGUGGACUUGGCGUUGGUGGGGUCAAAUCCAUCAGUGCCGUAGCUAACGCGAUAAGUCCACCGCCUGGGGACUACGGUCGCAAGGCUAAAACUCAAAGGAAUUGACGGG